rnacentral:rRNA from 1 species
AUUGAACGCUGGCGGCAGGCCUAACACAUGCAAGUCGAACGGUAGCACAGAGGAGCUUGCCCCUUGGGUGACGAGUGGCGGACGGGUGAGUAAUGUCUGGGAAACUGCCCGAUGGAGGGGGAUAACUACUGGAAACGGUAGCUAAUACCGCAUAACGUCGCAAGACCAAAGAGGGGGACCUUCGGGCCUCUUGCCAUCGGAUGUGCCCAGAUGGGAUUAGCUAGUAGGUGGGGUAACGGCCCACCUAGGCGACGAUCCCUAGCUGGUAUGAGAGGAGGACCAGCCACACGGGAACUGAGACACGGUCCAUACUCCUACGGGAGGCAGCAGUGGGUAAUAUUGCACAAUGGGCGCAAGCCUGAUGCAGCCAUGCCGCGUGUAUGAAGAAGGCCUUCGGGUUGUAAAGUACUUUCAGCGAGGAGGAAGGCGUUGUGGUUAAUAACCGCAACGAUUGACGUUACUCGCAGAAGAAGCACCGGCUAACUCCGUGCCAGCCGCCGCCGUAA